CCUAGGGCUGGGCACCUAAAACCGAAGUCCCGGUCCCGUUUCGAAACCGUCCCGAAAUUUGCCGGUACGGGCCGGGAUCAAAAUAUGAAAUUUACUAUUUGGGCCCGUCCCGUGGAAACGGGCCCGGUACCGGUACUAGCCUAGUCGAAACCGAUUGAUCCCGUCCCGUCCCGUUUGAAUUAAUUAAAUUAAAUCUUUAAUUUUUUAUAUUACUUGGUUGGUUUUGAUUGGGUAAUUUAAUGUGGGAACACAAAGGAAUGACCACACCUGAUCAAAACCUUUUGACCUAAACGACCUAAGUCCCUAAGCCGCUAAACGAAGUCUGAUCCCCAAUUCACUUCUCUUCUCUUCUCUUCUCAGUCUUCUGAUCUAAAUCUCUGAUCUUGGUGGAGACGACGAUGUCGGAGCGCUUCCAGCCCAGAUCGCGUAUGGCCUAGCCCAUGAUCUCCUCGGCGUGGCCGCUCGCGUAGACCUCGGCGUGGCCGCUCGCGUAGACCUCCGCGUUGUCGAAGAAGUUGACGCCGUGGUCGCGGCAGCACUGGAGCAGCGACUUUGCCUCCUUCACGUCCAGCGACUUCAACUUCGCC
rnacentral:lncRNA from 1 species